AGGUAUGAAGCCACUGAUCUUCGUGAAGAACCAUGUCGAAGUGCUGGAUCAUGGGAGCCACACCUUGAAGUACAAGACCGUCGAGGGAGGCCACCUCGGCCACACGCUCAAGUCGCACACCAUCGAGCACAAGUACGACGCCUUGAGCGCCGACACCUGCUCUCUGAAGAUCAAGGUGGAGUAUGAUACCAUCGACGACAAGGGGCUCCCCGAGGAGGAGGUGAACAAGAUCAAGGAGGGGUCGGUAUGGGUCGCCAAGGCUGUGGAAGGUUACCUGACCACCAACCCCGCUGCUUAUGCCUAAGC
rnacentral:lncRNA from 1 species